rnacentral:rRNA from 1 species
UCGAAGUCCCUUGGAACGGGGCGUCACAGAGGGUGAGAAUCCCGUACGCGACCGACGGUCCAAGCCCGUGUGAGGCCCUUUCGACGAGUCGAGUUGUUUGGGAAUGCAGCUCAAAAUGGGUGGUAAAUUUCAUCUAAAGCUAAAUACCGGCCAGAGACCGAUAGCGCACAAGUAGAGUGAUCGAAAGAUGAAAAGCACUUUGGAAAGAGAGUUAAAAAGUAUGUGAAAUUGUUGAUAGGGAAGCGCUUGCAACCAGACUCGCCCGCGGGUGAUCAACCGUCCUCCGGGGCAGUGCACUCUCCCGCGGUCGGGCCAGCAUCGGUUCGGGCGGCCGGACAAAGGCCCGGGGAACGUGGCUCCCUUCGGGGAGUGUUAUAGCCCCGGGUGCAAUGCGGCCAGCCGGGACCGAGGACCGCGCUUUUUGCUAGGAUGCUGGCGUAAUGGUUGUCAGCGACCCGUCUUGAAACACGGACCAAGGAGUCGACCAACAGUGCGAGUGUUUGGGUGCCAAACCCAUGCGCGUAAUGAAAGUGAACGGAGGUGGGAACCCCUCGCGGGGCGCACCAUCGACCGAUCCUGAUGUCUUCGGAUGGAUUUGAGUACGAGCAUUUUUGGUCGGACCCGAAAGAUGGUGAACUUUGCGUGGAUAGGGUGAAGCCAGAGGAAACUCUGGUGGAGGCUCGCAGCGGUUCUGACGUGCAAAUCGAUCGUCGAAUCUGCGUAAAGGACUAAUCGAACCAUAGUAGCUGGUUCCAGCCGAAGUUUCCCUCAGGAUAGCAGUGACGUUUUCAGUUUUAUGAGGUAAAGCGAAUGAUUAGCGACCUUGGGGGCUUAGAGCCCUUAAUCGAUUCUCAAACUUUAAAUAUGUAAGAUGCCCUUGUUGCUUAG